rnacentral:rRNA from 1 species
AACGAACGCUGGCGGCAGGCUUAACACAUGCAAGUCGAACGCAUCCUUCGGGGUGAGUGGCAGACGGGUGAGUAACGCGUGGGAACGUGCCCUUCAGUUCGGGAUAACCCAGGGAAACUUGGGCUAAUACCGGAUACGUGCGAGAGCAGAAAGAUUUAUCGCUGAAGGAUCGGCCCGCGUCUGAUUAGCUGAGUUGGUGGGGUAAUGGCCCACCAAGGCGACGAUCAGUAGCUGGUCUGAGAGGAUGAUCAGCCACUUUGGGACUGAAACCCGGCCAAAACCCCUACGGGGGGCAGACGUGGGGAAUAUGGGCAAAGGGCGAAAGCCCUGACCCCGCCAGCCGCGGUGAGUAAUGAGGGCUUUAGGGUGGAAAAGCUCUUUCUCCCGGAACGAUAAUGAGGGUCCCGGAAGAAGAAGCCCCGGCUACCUUGGGCCCAGCCGCCGCAGAAA